CAUUGUUUUAUUUUCAUUUGUCCAAUUGGUGAUAUGUCGUACACUAUUGUUAAUUGAUUAUUGCAGUUAAUUAACUCAUUUAGAUAUGUAAAAUAAAGCUGAAAAGUUUUAUUUUUAUUCAGAUCAAUAUCUGAUGCUAACACCUAAUCAAAAAGGCUCUUUUAUCUAUAAGUAACCUUUUUGAUUAGGCGUUUGCUUUAGAUAUUAAAAUUAAAUGAUAAGAUUGUCAGCUUAGAACAUUGAAAGGCUAGAAUUAGUAAACAACAACUUUGUUUGAGUCCAACAUGUGCACAGGGGCAAGAGGGGUGUUUUGUUUACAAACAUAUUUGCCGAUUCUCUGUUGUCAAGUCGACGCAAAUAUUCAACGGAGGAAAUUUUUAGCUAUAUUUUAACAACCAUUAUAACGUUAAUUUAACUUAUUUGUGUUGUAUUUUAUAGGAAAAUUUAAAACAAAAAGUAUAAAUACUACAAUUAACCUAUUUUAAGAAUAAAUAUAAUAUCGUUAAGCAAAAAAAAAACAAAAUUAUUAAUAUUCCUAUCCCUAAAACUAAAACUAAAACACUGGAGCUAAAGCGCCUGAGCCAUACGCGUAGUGUCAUCUGUCAAACGGCCUCUGUUUAUUUUCGGGAUUCGUGUAUUUUCAUUCAUUUUUGGUUUAAAAAGGAAAAAGGCCACAUUUUAGUGUUUUUUUAAAUUGCUAGGAUGGCAAAAACUUACGUCGUUUGUGCCGCAUCAUGAUAAAAAGGUGAUUCCAGCCGAUCUUUUCACAAAUUGCCUAAUAUAUGCCCAAAGGGAACAAUGGAUUUCAUUAAUGGAAAUCAACACAAUUAAAAAGAACAUAUUUGUUUGUUCAGAUCACAUCCUUAGAAGUGAUUUCUUAUAUAAGGAAGAUAAUAUUAUCAGUAGCCAGACUUUAUUAAAAAAAUCAGCUCUACCUCAAAGGAUUUCUGAUGCACUGGUUAAAAACACAGCAGCCGAUAAUUCAGUUAAUUUACCAAGUGAUUUACCCUUCAAAGCUGCAGGGGUAAUUUUCCUGAAGAGUGCAAACACUUUUUUAGCUUCCAAAAUGGUAUAUAGUACAAACAGUGAAGCUAAUAUAGACAAGUAUGGAUAAUUAAAAUAGAUUAAUAUUCUUGAUACACCAAAUUUUGUAUAAUUACAGAUCUGAUCAUUCAUCAUCAGCAAUAACUGCAUCUGAGAUUAAUAGUUACCGUGGGGUCUAGGUCAACAAUUACUAUUUCUCAUCCAAGCCGUUUUUGUUUAACUGCUACACAUUACACAGACUACUAGUUUUAUGCCAUGUAUCAUCCUAUUCUAUAUAUCUUAUUUAAAAGUGAUUGAUUGAUUGAUUGAUG